CCAGAGAACUUAGCAGAGAUGCUUUUGGUGCCUUCGGGAACUCUGAGACAGGUGCUGCAUGGCUGUCGUCAGCUCGUGUUGCGAAAUGUUGGGUUAAGUCCCGCAACGAGCGCAACCCUUAUCCUUUGUUGCCAGCGGCUCGGCCGGGAACUCAAAGGAGACUGCCGGUGAUAAACCGGAGGAAGGUGGGGAUGACGUCAAGUCAUCAUGGCCCUUACGGCCAGGGCUACACACGUGCUACAAUGGCGCAUACAAAGAGAAGCGACCUCGCGAGAGCAAGCGGACCUCACAAAGUGCGUCGUAGUCCGGAUUGGAGUCUGCAACUCGACUCCAUGAAGUCGGAAUCGCUAGUAAUCGUAGAUCAGAAUGCUACGGUGAAUACGUUCCCGGGCCUUGUACACACCGCCCGUCACACCAUGGGAGUGGGUUGCAAAAGAAGUAGGUAGCUUAACCUUCGGGAGGGCGCUUACCACUUUGUGAUUCAUGACUGGGGUGAAGUCGUAACAAGGUAAGCGUAGCGAG
rnacentral:rRNA from 1 species